rnacentral:rRNA from 1 species
AACCUGCCCUUGACUCUGGGAUAAGCCUGGGAAACUGGGUCUAAUACCGGAUAUGACCAUCUGACGCAUGUCAUGGUGGUGGAAAGCUUUUGUGGUUUUGGAUGGACUCGCGGCCUAUCAGCUUGUUGGUGGGGUAAUGGCCUACCAAGGCGACGACGGGUAGCCGGCCUGAGAGGGUGACCGGCCACACUGGGACUGAGACACGGCCCAGACUCCUACGGGAGGCAGCAGUGGGGAAUAUUGCACAAUGGGCGGAAGCCUGAUGCAGCGACGCCGCGUGAGGGAUGACGGCCUUCGGGUUGUAAACCUCUUUCAGUAGGGAAGAAGCGAAAGUGACGGUACCUGCAGAAGAAGCGCCGGCUAACUACGUGCCAGCAGCCGCGGUAAUACGUAGGGCGCAAGCGUUAUCCGGAAUUAUUGGGCGUAAAGAGCUCGUAGGCGGUUUGUCGCGUCUGCUGUGAAAGACCGGGGCUCAACUCCGGUUCUGCAGUGGGUACGGGCAGACUAGAGUGCAGUAGGGGAGACUGGAAUUCCUGGUGUAGCGGUGAAAUGCGCAGAUAUCAGGAGGAACACCGAUGGCGAAGGCAGGUCUCUGGGCUGUAACUGACGCUGAGGAGCGAAAGCAUGGGGAGCGAACAGGAUUAGAUACCCUGGUAGUCCAUGCCGUAAACGUUGGGCACUAGGUGUGGGGGACAUUCCACGUUUUCCGCGCCGUAGCUAACGCAUUAAGUGCCCCGCCUGGGGAGUACGGCCGCAAGGCUAAAACUCAAAGGAAUUGACGGGGGCCCGCACAAGCGGCGGAGCAUGCGGAUUAAUUCGAUGCAACGCGAAGAACCUUACCAAGGCUUGACAUGAACCGGAAAGACCUGGAAACAGGUGCCCCGCUUGCGGUCGGUUUACAGGUGGUGCAUGGUUGUCGUCAGCUCGUGUCGUGAGAUGUUGGGUUAAGUCCCGCAACGAGCGCAACCCUCGUUCUAUGUUGCCAGCGCGUUAUGGCGGGGACUCAUAGGAGACUGCCGGGGUCAACUCGGAGGAAGGUGGGGACGACGUCAAAUCAUCAUGCCCCUUAUGUCUUGGGCUUCACGCAUGCUACAAUGGCCGGUACAAAGGGUUGCGAUACUGUGAGGUGGAGCUAAUCCCAAAAAGCCGGUCUCAGUUCGGAUUGGGGUCUGCAACUCGACCCCAUGAAGUCGGAGUCGCUAGUAAUCGCAGAUCAGCAACGCUGCGGUGAAUACGUUCCCGGGCCUUGUACACACCGCC